AAGAAGUGAAUACCCUCCGAGGGGAACUUACUAAAGUUCAGACGCGUAUAAAAGUUGAUCCCUCUCGACCCCUCCUUUUUGGAUUGAAUGUGAAUCUUAAAGAAAGCAUAGAGUUGAAUGAAUGAAUGAAGACAAGAUGAAGAAGACAAAGGAAUGUGUCUACUUAUAUAUAUAUAUAAAAUAAUUAAUCUGCGAUUCUCUACCAAGUCAGAUAUUUUUUGCUUGAGAGCAUUAAUAAUUUGUUGAAUAACACUUGCAUCAUUCCACAAUAAACUUUUUUUUGUGAAGCCUAGAGAGGCGGAAGCGAAGCGGAAAAUCACUUCUAACAAGUUCCCCAACACUUAGCUUAGUAGCUUAAUUCUAUUGGCGUGGUGCUGCUAGAUGCUUCUGAUCUAUAGAAAAAAAAAAAAGCUUAUCAUGAGUUGGAGUCGAUCAUUUCCAAGAUCUAAUUCUAAUUUUUUCUUAUGUAGUGGAAAU
rnacentral:lncRNA from 1 species